AGCACUUCCGGAUUUUAGACAGUCUUUUCUGGUGGAGAUAGACACAUCGGGUUUUGGGCUAGAAGCAAUACUUAUGCAGAACCAAAGGCUUGUGGCCUUUUUCAAUCAGGUGUUAACGGCUUGGGCCAAGCCCAAGUCAGUUUACGAGUGGGAGUUGAUGGCGAUUGUGUUAGUCAUUCAGAAAUGGCGACCGUAUCUCCUCGGAAGAUAUUUCAUCAUUAGGUCUUACCAGAAAAGUUUUAAGUAUUUGUUGGAACAGAGAAUGGUUAGUGAGGAGCAUCAAAGCUGGCUUUCCAAGUUAGUGGGUUAUGACUUUGAAAUUCAAUAUCGACCCGGAGAGGAGAACAAAGCAGCAGAUGGGUUAUCCAGGUGCAUGGGGGAACCCCAUAUCGCAUUGCCUGUGCCCUGGGUGGUUGACUAGGAGGCACUGAGGAGAGAGAGUGAACAGAAUGCAGGCCUGAAAACAUUAGGGAGGAGAUGCAGGAAAUAAGGACAGUUAUCCAGAAUAUUCAGUAGUGGGAUUGAAGUUGCUUCAUGAAGGGCGAUUUGUGCUUCCAAAGACCUUUUCUUACAUUCCCAGCUUAUUACAGGAGUUCCAUAUGGUAACCAUGGGGGCAUUUAGGGGCCCAAAAGACAUAUCGCCGGUUAUUUGUCGAGAUGUAUUUAGAAGGGUUGCAGAAGGAUGUUGAAAAAAUGAUGGCUAGCUAUGAUAUAUGCAAGAGGUACAAGUAUUUAGCUAUGUCUCCAGGAGGGCUCCUCCAGUGGUUAGCUCUGACAGAAAGAGUGUGGGAUUCAUAGAAGGGCUUCCUAAAUCAGAAGGUUACAUGACGAUGUUAGUGGUAGCGGACUGAUUGAGUAAAUAUGCUCAUUUCAUCCCCCAUCACCACCCCUAUACAACAUUAUUAUUAGUACCAACAAUUUUUAUGAGGGAAGUAGUGAGACUUUAUGGAAUGCCAGAAUCAAUUAUAUAAUAUAGGGACAAGAUCUUCCUAAGCCAGUUUCAGAAGGAAUUGUUCAAAAUACAGGAAACUGUCUUGAAAAGAAGCACUGCUUAUCAUUCUCAGACGGACGGAUAGACAAAGGUAGUCAAUCGUAGUGUGGAUACCUAUCUGUGGUGCUUUAUAUCAGAUAUACCCAAGUUGUGGGCCAAAUGGUUGGCUUGGGCAGAAUAUUGGUAUAACACGUCUUAUCAUUCAACAUCGCAGAAAACAUCGUUCAAAGUGUUAUACAAACGAGAUCCGACUUGCUUGAUACUAUGGGCAAGGUGGCACACCAGUGGCUUCAGUAGAACAAUACUUGGAGGACAGAGAUAGGAUCUUGGGGGAGCUGUUGGGACAUUUGUUGAGAGCUCAACUAAUUAUGAAAAAGAAGGCAUAUGCACAUAAGUGAGACAUACAGUUCGAGGUGUGGGACAAGGUUUACUUAAAGCUUCAACCCUACAGACAGAAAACCCUGGCAUGCAGACGAAAUGAUAAGUUAUGCCCCCAAUAUUUUGAUCCCUACGAGAUAAUGGAGCGAAUAGGGGCGUGGCUUAUCGCCUACAGUUACCAUUAUCGUCAACCAUUUAUCUCGUAUUUUAUGUGUCCUAGUUGCGGCGAGUGAUAGGAGAGCAUAUUCCUUCCUGGACACUUCCCUUGACCUUGACAUAGGACAUCAAAGUGUUGUUGGAACCACUGAAUGUCGAAGGAGUGCGACCGAGAGUAACGGGCAGCAAAGAAGUGUUGAUUAGGUGAAGAGCCUACCGGAGCAUGAGCCACAUGGUAGUCCUACCAUACUAUGUAGCAACAAUUCCCUAUAUUCCACCUUGAGGACAAGUUGGGACUUUUGGGGGGAGUAUUAAUACGGUGAAAGCUGCAGGGGUCCGCACCAAGCGGACCUAGGAGCCAUUGAAUCGGCUAAUCCAACAAAUUGCUGCCUAGUUGGGGUUGACGGACAGAGAGGGGGAGUCAGCUAAGUGGCUGGGGCCCAACAGAGAAUUUAAAUAUUAUAUUAUGAGAAAAUCAAUUAGGAAAUCCUUUCCUAAUUGAAUUAUUUUCAAAUUGAGGAUGGAAACAUAUUAGGAAGGAAGCCGAUUUAGGAGGGAGGAAGGAAGCUUUUUUAAGUCCAUAGUAGGGUUUAUUUUAUUCUUUUGCAGAUUUGUUUUGUGCUAUAGUUCUCUUGUGUUAGGGAUCCUAGUGGCGUCUAGGGUUUGGGAGAGAAGAUCCUCCUCUUGAAAGAGGACCAUUGUAUAUUGUUUUUGUUCGUAAUUGAUUUUCUUAUCAAUAAAAAUCUGUUUUUUUAUUGAAUCUCUUGGAGUAUUUUGCUGUUUUGGAUACCAAGACGUAUCAUUGUGAUUUGAUAUUCAAUUGAGUUUGUAAUCUUUAUGAUGAUUAUUUUCUAAAAGAGAUUUGUGUUCGAAAUUUUCAUCUAAAGUUGUAAAUAAUUGUCUAUAUUAGAAAUUUUUGGCUGUGAAUUUGACCUCGUGUGUGUGAAUUUGUUCUUUUCAGUUGAAAUUUGUGGUAGUAAAUCUUAGAUCUCAAGAUACCCGAUAUUACGGCCUUGUUUUAUUUUGCAUUAACAUCUGCAUUAUUCCCGCUUAGAAUAAUUUCUUCAUAAGAAGUACUUCAACUAAUCUUCUAAGCACUCGAAGGGAUCUUGCUAGUAAGCAUCAGCUGGUGGGACCCAUAAUUCCCUUUAUUCUCUUUGUUUUCCUUGUAGCAGAUAUGUUAUCGUAAACGUGAAUGUUAAUACAUACAACUGUUUAUGCUCAUUAAGUUGAAUGAGUUACCUCUGAUCUUAUAACUUCUAAUCAUGUGAGAUCUGUGUUGGUAAGUUGAUCCAUCUUUUUGAUCCAAAUCAAUAUUCCUACCAAUCCUUAGAUUAAUUAGUUAUAAGCUCAUAUUAGUUAUUGUGUAAUGGUUAGCGUGCGUUAAGUGAUGAAUUGGCUUUUUAUUAAAAUUGUUUCAGAUCUGCAAAUUUUCAUAAAACUAAACAGAACCGUGAAAUGAUACUCUAUUAAUGAGUUAGAACCAUUGCUCUGGUAUAGAACCAGAUUGGUUUGAUUUGGUAUAAUUUGGCAAGCAUCUAGUCAAGCUAGUUGAUAGUGCAUGUGAUGGAUUGGCGGUUGAGCCGAUGGGCCCCACUAGGGUGGGCAGGUCGCAAGAGAGACAAGGGGAAUUAUUUAGGAAAAUUUUAAUUACAAUUAGGAGGGAAUUAAUUAUGGAAAGAAAUCUUAUUUGAAUUUCAAAUCUGAGGAGGAAUUAUUCAGGAAAAGCUCAGGAGAGUUAAUAUUCAUUAUGUAAAGAGGAAUUAAUGGAGAAUUGUUUAUGAAAGUUUUAAUUACUAUUGGGGGGAUUUAAUUAGAGAAAGAAAUAUACUUUGAAUCCAAAUAUGAGAUGGAAUUAUUUAGGGAAAGGAGGCUGAUUUUGGGGAGAAUUCAGGGAGCCUAUUUAAGGCUAACUAUGGGGUGAUUUCAGAUUAUACUUGAUUUUGCUUAAAUUAAUUUUGCUUAGGUUGAGUGGGCUCUAGCUGAUGGCUAGGGGUUUGGGAGAGCCGGAUCUUCUUCUCCAAUUGAAUAUCCAACUGUAUUUUACGUUUUUCUUCUUAGUUCUUUCAAUAAGAAAAGAGUUUAUGUGUGUUCUUUUUCCUAAAUUUCUUGUGUCAUUCUCUGGUUUUGCUAAAAUUGCAUCAACUUCCUAUUAGCAUGUCAUUGAAUUUAAAUAACGCAUUUAGUUAACUAAUGCAGUGCUCCAAGUACUGUGAGCUCGUCAUUUUAUGUAUUGCUUGUUUUGUUUUAAAAAGAGUUUUAGUCAGCUUUAUCCUUUCAUUUUGCAAUUUCGUAAUAUUUUAUGUGUCAAUGAUUGAUUAUGAUUAGAUAAACAUGCACUGGUGGGAGUUAGCAUGACGAUUUGACAUUGGCUGAUGAGAGGAGAUUGUACGUUUUAUAAAAUCAUUAAGUUUGGUUUAAUGUAAUAUAAGUUGUGUUGAAAACCACGCUCUCCGUUAGAAAAUAACAAAUUCCUGUUUGUCCGCUUUUAUUGCCUGCCCUUCUCGUUUUCCUACUUUAUUGCCCUCUUCAUCAACCCUGUUCAACAUUCCCUGAUUUUCUUUCUACUUAUGGCUUAAUGUCUUGGUUAGCCUUUGGGAAAUUUGGAUCUUGAGUUUGUUGAAUAUGGGCAUUGUCUGACUUUUUUGCUUGUUCUUGAAAACUUCUUGGUACCUGAGUCUCUUUUCUAAUGAAGGUUGGAUCUUUGUAGUAAAAAGUGUGAAAAUCCAUUCUUCUAUUUUUCUGCUUAGUUGAUUUUUCUUGAUUGCAUGAAUGCUAUGAUUUAUCUUUAUUGCUUGAAUACUAUGAUUUUGUAGAUGAUUCUCUGAUUCUGGGCUCUUACUUUUUUGAAUCCGCUGGUCUCUGCAGUUUUGAAGAGAGGCUAGAAGGCGAAACUUGGUUAGGUUUAAGGUUUUUGAUUUCUGAUUCUACUUUCAUUGAUCUUGUCUGCUAGUUCCUGAACUCUUUUGAUAUCCUUCUAUGAAGCACAUUAGGGGUACCUCUUCAGUUCAUGAUGGCUUCUUCAGUUUCUUCAUCCCUUGGGAAAGUACACUUUCCCUGUGACAAAUCCUAUUUAAAGUUCCCCUCCAUCAGGAGGAAUUAUUCUUAACUAACUUAGCAAAAGUAGAGUUUGGCGACUGAAGCCUGAUCCAGUUCUGGCAAAACUCUUAAGAAUCUUGUUACCUGUUUCUAUUUCACACAGGUCUGCAGCCUCUGUAAUUAUUGUUUUUCCUUGAAAAGCAUAGUUACCUUGCUUUGACACGUACUUGGAGUGGAUAUAAUGCUAAAAAGUGCUGUUAAUAGAGCUUUUUUAAACAACAUUUUGGUUCAGGUGCUUUCAUAUUCUCCUUUUUUUAUUCCAGAUCUUUCCCAUUUACAAAAUCUGUGUGGAUGAUUUGUGCUUCAAUAUGUACUCCUAAGUCAUCAACUUGAUCUAUUCCAAGAAGCCGGUGGUGCUGGUGGAGCGUCUCUUAUGGAAAUUUAAAGGAAAUUGAACAAUUCGUGUCAAUGGGUUCCAUGUUGCGGUAUAAUGUGCAAAACUGGCGCUUUAAUAAUUCCGGGCAGCGCAUUCUUCAUUAUCCUAACUUGUUUUUCAACUUUGAAGUCAUUCUUGUGGGCUUCCUUGCAAAGCUUCAGGGAUACUUAGUUAUGGGGUACUGGUUUCUCUUGCCUGGAGUAAUGAAUAAAUGAGAGUGUGCCAUGGAGAGUAUUCACAAAGCAUCAUCAUCUCGUUCGAGUACCAACAGAAAACAACAGUGCAUUAUUUCCUUUUAAUUGCUGUGCGCAGGUAUUUAGUAUGUUUGGGCUUCUUCUUUCAUCUUGAAGAAGGUUGAUCUUCUUGGAUUUAUCGAGCAAUAUCAACAGUCUCUCGACGUCCCCUCAUCGUGAUGGGAGGUUAGGGAGGGCACUUGUCCUUUUGGAUUGGCUUAGUCGGAUCAAAUCAAUGGCAAGGACUUUGGGGGAGCGAAUUGAUCAAGUCUUCUAUCCACUCGACUAGAUCAAUUCGACGGGCAAUGACUUUGAGGGACCGAAUCAACCCCGGGUUACCUACGGUCUUCUUCUGUUGUGGGAGUAUCGGCCUUCGGCCACUAAUCUCCCCGGUCGACCUAGCGGACAACCCACCCCAUACUCAUCCGGGCCAACACUUAAGGCUUUUCACGAAUUGUCAUGGGAUUCGAACUCGGUACCUGACCUAUGGCCAGCCAGUUCUUCACCACCAAGACAACCCGUGGUGGGUCUGUUAUCUUUCAAUCCUUACAAACUUAGCUGAAGUGUACACGCUUAUAAGUAACAUGCUAUUCACGGCAUUUUUGCCUUUUAAUGAUGCGAGAUGCAUAAUAGAGAAAUUCUAAAGCUGGUACUCUGUCCCUUUCCAUGGCAUACAUGCGAGUGACAGCUUUACAUCCAUGUCUUCAUUCAUGCAAACAAGCAAAAACUCCUUAUAAUGGACUUAGUGACGUUGCAGCCUUAAUGAAGAAUUAUUUAA